CACGUAGGGUGCGAGCGUUGUCCGGAAUUAUUGGGCGUAAAGAGCUCGUAGGCGGUGUGUCGCGUCGGCCGUGAAAACCUGCAGCUUAACUGUGGGCUUGCAGCUGAUACGGGCGGGCUGGGAUUCGGUAGGGGAGACUGGAAUUCCUGGUGUAGCGGUGAAAUGCGCAGAUAUCAGGAGGAACACCGGUGGCGAAGGCGGGUCUCUGGGCCGAUAUCGACGCUGAGGAGCGAAAGCGUGGGGAGCGAACAGG
rnacentral:rRNA from 1 species